UACGGAGGGUGCAAGCGUUAUCCGGAUUCACUGGGUUUAAAGGGUGCGUAGGCGGGUAAGUAAGUCCGUGGUGAAAUCUCUGAGCUUAACUCAGAAACUGCCGUGGAUACUAUUUGCCUUGAAUAUUGUGGAGGUGAGCGGAAUAUGUCAUGUAGCGGUGAAAUGCUUAGAUAUGACAUAGAACACCAAUUGCGAAGGCAGCUCACUACACAAUCAUUGACGCUGAGGCACGAAAGCGUGGGGGGAGUC
rnacentral:rRNA from 1 species